AACAUGCAGUGAUCACUUGUCACAAUCUUAACAUACCUCCAAAGGGCACCGCUUAAUCAGUGAUUUCGAAUAAACGGGCCGUGCAGGGUCGCUGCGUGUGCCUUGCCUCGCCCAGAGGGCACAACUGCUCGCGGGCUCGCGGCCCGGCCUGUUUGGCCACCUAUAUGCCGUAUCCCGACGGCAACCAGCGUGUUCGCACGAAUCUGCUAGAGCAGUUGUGCCCGGAGCCAGAACCCUCGUGCUCCUCCGGCGGCGACGGGCGGCGGAGGUGUGGAACUCGUCACAGCGCACAGGCACCAGAGCAUUCACAUCUGAAGGCCCACAUCUUGGAAAACAAACUUUUUUUGAGAAGCUUCAUCCCUUGGUCAUCACAAACUUGUACAGUUCAAAUAACAAGAUUAGUGCCUCUGCUGCGUCUAUUGUUUUAGUUGGUUCAAGUGAGGAACUUGGGAUUAUCAGUAACUGUUCAUGAGGAGUUUUCGUUUGGACAGUCUGACCAUUGCUAGUCCAAUGUUUCGUCAAAGGUUUAUUGCUGAUGGAAUUGAAACUUUGGUCAGGAUAGGUAUCCCAGUUAACGCUGCUAUCUCCUUGUGGUAGAACUGUUUGUUCUUUGGUCGGAACCUGAUCUUAUUCAUUAUAGGUGUACUUGUUGGAGGAAAUUUUGCCGUCAAGCAAAUGUUUCCCUUGCUUAGGAUUCUUGUUAUAAUCUCAUGUAUCGACUAGCAAUCCAGAUGAGUAAUCCAGAGUCGCAACAUA